rnacentral:rRNA from 1 species
AGCGGAGGGAUCAUUAUCGAGUUUAUCCAACUCCCAACCCUAUGUGAACCUACCUUUAUGUUGCUUCGGCGGUCUCGCGCCGGGCUGCUCCCCUAGGGGGCUCCCGGGACCACGCGUCCGCCGGAGACCACAAACUCUUGAUUUUGCGAAAGCAGUAUUAUUCUGAGUGG